rnacentral:rRNA from 1 species
UCGAGAAUCUUCUGCAAUGGGCGAAAGCCUGACAGAGCGACGCCGCGUGCGGGAUGAAGGCCUUCGGGUUGUAAACCGCUGUCAGUGGGGAGCAAAUUACUAGGGGUUCUCCCCUGGUAUUGAGCGAUCCGCAGAGGAAGCAGAGGCUAAGUUCGUGCCAGCAGCCGCGGUAAGACGAACUCUGCAAACGUUAUUCGGAAUUACUGGGCUUAAAGAGUCCGUAGGCGGCGCGUUAGGUGGGGUGUGAAAUCCCUCGGCCCAACCGAGGAAUUGCGCUCCAAACCGGCGUGCUUGAGGAAGGUAGAGGUGAGCGGAACUGAUGGUGGAGCGGUGAAAUGCGUUGAUAUCAUCAGGAACACCGGAGGCGAAGGCGGCUCACUGGGCCUUUUCUGACGCUGAGGGACGAAAGCUAGGGUAGCGAACGG